CUGCCCUACGGGUUGUAAACUGCUUUUAUCCGGGAAUAAACCUUUCUACGUGUAGAGAGCUGAAUGUACCGGAAGAAUAAGGAUCGGCUAACUCCGUGCCAGCAGCCGCGGUAAUACGGAGGAUCCAAGCGUUAUCCGGAUUUAUUGGGUUUAAAGGGUGCGUAGGCGGCCUGUUAAGUCAGGGGUGAAAGACGGUAGCUCAACUAUCGCAGUGCCCUUGAUACUGAUGGGCUUGAAUGGACUAGAGGUAGGCGGAAUGAGACAAGUAGCGGUGAAAUGCAUAGAUAUGUCUCAGAACACCGAUUGCGAAGGCAGCUUACUAUGGUUCUAUUGACGCUGAGGCACGAAAGCGUGGGGAUCGAACAGGAUUAGAUACCCUGGUAGUCCACGCCCUAAACGAUGAACACUCGCUGUUGGCGAUACACAGUCAGCGGCUAAGCGAAAGCGUUAAGUGUUCCACCUGGGGAGUACGGUCGCAAGAUUGAAACUCAAAGGAAUUGACGGAAUCACUA
rnacentral:rRNA from 1 species